rnacentral:tRNA from 1 species
GGGUCUAUCGUCUAAUGGAUAGGACAAGAACUUUCUAACUUCUUAGUGUAGGUUCGAUUCCUACUAGACCUA